UACGUAGGGUGCAAGCGUUGUCCGGAAUUAUUGGGCGUAAAGAGCUCGUAGGCGGUUUGUCGCGUCUGCUGUGAAAACCCGAGGCUCAACCUCGGGCCUGCAGUGGGUACGGGCAGACUAGAGUGCGGUAGGGGAGAUUGGAAUUCCUGGUGUAGCGGUGGGAUGCGCAGAUAUCAGGAGGAACACCGGUGGCGAAGGCGGGUCUCUGGGCCGAUACUGACGCUGAGGAGCGAAAGCGUGGGGAGCGAACGGG
rnacentral:rRNA from 1 species